rnacentral:ncRNA from 9 species
UAAACUUCGCCGCGUCCUGGUGCCCGCAGCACCAUCUGCAGUUAAACGGGAAGCAGGGAGCGCGCGCCCCAAGCGAUGCGCCAACCUGCGCUGCCCCCGCAACGGUAAGCGAACGCCGCGUGUGCCCGCCAUCUCGAAAAGAAGAUGGGUACCGCGCGGUCUGUCCAGAUGCCACUGUUCCUUCGGGAAUGGGAAGGCGGACAGGCCGCUUCGCCAGCCCGGAUACCGGCCAGGACGGUGGAUCUCCGA